UGGCACUCUGCCACGGCGGGGCCGCGCUCGGCUGUGGGGACGUAAACGCACACGAGGUAGCUGCACAUCUGUGGAAGCUUUAACGGCCAUAAACCAGCUGUGGGAACAGGGGCAGCAGCAGUGACGGGCUUUCCCGGCACUCAUGGCCAGGCUGAUUGCGGCGACUGAUGGACUGACUGUUUCAAAACACCUCAAGUGCCUCCUUGUGUCUCUCCAGAUGGACUGGCCAAACAAGCCAGUUGGAUGGUUUUGCUGGAGCUGUCCAGUGUGUGACUAGCCCCGUCUGCCCCAGGGCAGCAGUGCAUGGAUCAUGAUUGCCCUCAAUCCCUCCAAAGUGAAACAGCGCUCAGAACGAGUGGGUGUGAGUACCAGCAGCAGGAGAUGGUCCGUUUCUGUUGCAGCUAAGUUUGCUUACAGAUUUCCAGAACCAUCAUUUACAAAGUUCAGAGGCACAUUGAUGAAUCCCCUUGCCGGUUCAGUAGUGCUUCAAUCAAUCAUCAAACUAACAGCAUCAACAUUUUUCCUGGGCUAUUAUCAUCACUUCAAUUGCUGCAGCAAUACUUUCUGCACUGCUAAAUCAAGGAUGAUCAUUUCAGACGGGCAGAAACGUGAAUUUCCUGUUGCGCUAGAGGCUGAGAAAGCCAUCGGAGAGCCGCAGACAAGCGUUAGAAAGCCAGAGCAGCGCCACGCGAGCGUGGACAUGGUACCGGAGGGAUCGAUUCGGAGCCACGAGCGAACGCCCACAGAGUCGUCCCUUGCCGUGCCAGCAGGAUUUGUGCAGUGCCUGCUCCGAGGUACUGCCAGUUCUGUUUCUCCUGCGCCCCUGGAAGGCUCUGCAACAGAAGGGGAGGAUUUAAUCUCAUGUAAAAUCUGCUGUGGAACAGAACCUGCCCUUCCUAAGUUUUUGGUCAAAUCCCAAGGUGCCAGGACCAACAGCGAUCAUGGCAGCAAAAUACAGCUACGUUUUCUUCUGAACUGAGAACCAAGUAGACAAAGCUGGUGAUAA
rnacentral:lncRNA from 1 species